ensembl:lncRNA
UUUUGCAUUUGGAGCCGAUUUCAGUUUAGCUUUCUCAAAGUCGUUAGCCCACAGUGCAGCCUUUUCAACAAACAUGAAAGGAGAAAAUAGUAUACAAGACAAACAUCAAGGGUUUUCAGCAUGCAAUACAGCAAAAGCUCAAUGUUCAAAAAACAGAAGUUGCAAAAUGCAUUAGUAACCACCUCUACUAAGCACCACCCAAAACUGAAGACACUGAAGUGGAGAAAUAAGAUCCUUUUAUCAAAACCUAUUGACCACCACUGAUAUCAGGAGAUCUGCACAACAGAAAUCCGACUUCUGAUGUUGGCAUGGUUUGAGGAUCAGCUAUGGCAGCUGAAGCUUAAAGAUGCAGUAGUAACUGAUGCUUGGAGAGCAUGCCUACAAGUCAGCCCAGAGCCCUUUCACUUGGUUUGGAAGUUCAGCAGGAGAAAGCAAGCAGCUAGAAGUUGCCCUGGUCUUUCUCAAUGGCCAGAAGGAAUCACAAAGAGAGAAAAGGCUGUCACCGAGUCAGCCUUCAGCCUCAGCUCACAACUGCGAUUACAGAAGUCACACAAGAAUUCAACGCAACUAGAGGCAAGAAAAUAAUUCCCACCAACUCUGAUUAUUUUAAAGUAAGGAUCCAGAAAUGCCUCCUACAUUUUGAUUGAAUUUCUCACAUUGGACGUAGGAAAUAGAACGGCACCCUGGAAAUUAUCACAAAAGUUACUUCUUGUUGCAGAUUGCAGCACAACUUUACUCAUGUCUUGCUUUACAGAACAAUAGUUCAGG